UUCAUUUUAUUGAUCCUGCAGAGACUUGAGCUUUAACAACUUAACUGGUGGAAUACCAGAUUCCAUAAAAAAGCUGAAUUUAAGUAAGAUGUUUCUUACAGGAAAUAUGCUUAAUGGCACAGUACCUUCCUGGGUUCCUCAUACCAUUGAAGACAAGGCGGACUUGUCAUAUAAUAAUUUUGAAAUUUCACGUGAUGGUACGAAGAAAGGAGAAGGACAACUAAACAU